AUGGAUCACAUCGUCGGCGGCAAGUUCAAGCUCGGCAAGAAGAUCGGGAGCGGAUCCUUCGGGGAGCUCUUCCUCGCUGUGAAUGUGCAGACAGGAGAGGAGGUCGCCGUCAAACUGGAAAAUGUCAAGACCAAGCACCCGCAGCUCCAUUACGAGUCCAAGCUCUACAUGCUUCUCCAGGGAGGAACUGGCAUUCCGCACCUCAAGUGGUUCGGUGUGGAGGGGGAGUAUAAUGUGAUGGUGAUUGAUCUUCUCGGGCCCAGCCUCGAGGACCUCUUCAACUACUGCAGUAGGAAGUUCUCGCUCAAGACCGUGCUCAUGCUUGCUGAUCAGAUGAUUAAUCGAGUUGAGUACAUGCAUCAAAAGGGAUUUCUUCAUCGUGACAUAAAACCUGAUAAUUUCCUUAUGGGCCUCGGAAGGAAAGCCAAUCAGGUAUAUAUAAUAGAUUAUGGACUUGCAAAGAAAUUCAGAGACCUUCAGACUCAUAAGCACAUCCCCUACAGGGAGAACAAGAAUCUCACUGGAACUGCACGCUAUGCUAGUGUCAAUACCCACCUUGGCGUUGAGCAAAGCAGGAGAGAUGAUUUAGAAUCACUUGGUUAUGUACUUAUGUACUUCCUCAGAGGCAGCCUGCCAUGGCAGGGGCUGAAAGCAGGCACUAAGAAGCAGAAAUAUGACAAAAUUAGUGAGAAGAAGAUGCUUACUCCUGUGGAGGUACUCUGCAAGUCUUACCCUUCAGAAUUCAUUUCUUACUUCCACUACUGUCGAUCAUUGCGGUUUGAAGACAAGCCAGAUUAUUCUUACCUAAAGAGACUAUUCCGUGAUCUCUUCAUCCGGGAAGGAUACCAAUUCGAUUAUGUGUUUGACUGGACCAUUUUGAAAUAUCCCCAGAUAGGCUCCAAUCCAAGGAUGAGGCCAAGUGAAAGAGUCAGUGGAGCUGCUGGACCUUCUAUCGAGAAGAUAGAGAAGGCCCCAGCAUCUUGUGUCACAGGCGAAGCAUCUGCUCGGAGGAAUCCCAGUGCUUCUCUGAAUCAGAGUGACAACCAUGCAACCCGACCACGGGAAACUGUAUCGAUGUCAUUAAAGGAGAUUAUGCAUAGCACAGACCGGUCCGGCGAAAGGACCAUGGAGAGGACCGUGGAGAGACCUCGUACAUCCUCCCGCACAGGCAGUGCAUCGAGGAGAGCAGUUGCAUCAAGCAGCAGGCCAGGCUCAUCCAUGGAACCGAGCGAGCAGCAGUACAGCCGGACGAGCAGGUUGUUCUCCAGCAGCAAUAACGGUGGCAGCCGCCCGUCCAGCACCCAGAGAGUCAAUCCUGGGGUGAGCGAGUCAAGGGCCACGUCCCUCUCACGGGCGGCGGUCGCAAGAGGGUCGCGUGACGAGCCCCUCCACCGCAGCCUCGAGCUCCUGUCCCUCGGCACCGGCAAGAGGAAAUAA
rnacentral:rRNA from 1 species